GACGAACGCUGGCGGCGUGCUUAACACAUGCAAGUCGAACGGAAAGGCCCUGCUUUUGUGGGGUGCUCGAGUGGCGAACGGGUGAGUAACACGUGAGUAACCUGCCCUUGACUUUGGGAUAGCUUCAGGAAACUGGGGCUAAUACCGGAUAGGAGCUCCUGCUGCAUGGUGGGGGUUGGAAAGUUUCGGCGGUUGGGGAUGGACUCGCGGCUUAUCAGCUUGUUGGUGGGGUAGUGGCUUACCAAGGCUUUGACGGGUAGCCGGCCUGAGAGGGUGACCGGCCACAUUGGGACUGAGAUACGGCCCAGACUCCUACGGGAGGCAGCAGUGGGGAAUAUUGCACAAUGGGCGGAAGCCUGAUGCAGCAACGCCGCGUGCGGGAUGACGGCCCUCGGGUUGUAAACCGCUUUCGCCUGUGACGAAGCGUGGGUGACGGUAAUGGGUAAAGAAGCACCGGCUAACUACGUG
rnacentral:rRNA from 1 species